rnacentral:rRNA from 1 species
UGCAAGUCGAACGCAACCUUCGGGUUGAGUGGCGGACGGGUGAGUAACGCGUGAGAAUCUGCCUUGGGGUCGGGGACAACCACUGGAAACGGUGGCUAAUACCGGAUAAGCCUUUGGGUAAAAAAUUUAUUGCCCCAAGAGGAGCUCGCGUCUGAUUAGCUAGUUGGUGAGGUAAAAGCUCACCAAGGCAGCGAUCAGUAGCUGGUCUGAGAGGACGAUCAGCCACACUGGGACUGAGACACGGCCCAGACUCCUACGGGAGGCAGCAGUGGGGAAUUUUCCGCAAUGGGCGAAAGCCUGACGGAGCAAGACCGCGUGAGGGAGGAAGGCUCUUGGGUUGUAAACCUCUUUUCUCAGGGAAGAAGCUCUGACGGUACCUGAGGAAUCAGCCUCGGCUAACUCCGUGCCAGCAGCCGCGGUAAUACGGAGGAGGCAAGCGUUAUCCGGAAUUAUUGGGCGUAAAGCGUCCGCAGGUGGCGAUUCAAGUCUGCUGUCAAAGCACGGGGCUUAACUCCGUUAAGGCAGUGGAAACUGAAUAGCUAGAGUGCCGUAGGGGUAGAGGGAAUUCCCGGUGUAACGGUGAAAUGCGUAGAGAUCGGGAAAGAACCAUUCGGUGGCGAAAGCGGGC